GACGUAGGGCGCGAGCGUUGUCCGGAAUUACUGGGCGUAAAGAGCUCGUAGGUGGUUUGUCGCGUUGUUCGUGAAAACUCACAGCUUAACUGUGGGCGUGCGGGCGAUACGGGCAGACUAGAGUACUGCAGGGGAGACUGGAAUUCCUGGUGUAGCGGUGGAAUGCGCAGAUAUCAGGAGGAACACCCAUAGCGAAGGCAGCUUGCUGGGACGUUACUGACGCUAAGGCGCGAAAGCGUGGGGAGCGAACAGG
rnacentral:rRNA from 1 species